rnacentral:rRNA from 1 species
GAUGAACGCUGGCGGCGUGCCUAACACAUGCAAGUCGAACGGUUGAGUACUUGACUUUUAGUUACUUAUUUAAAAAUGAUAAGUAAUUAAAAGUUGAGUACUCGAUAGUGGCGGACGGGUGAGUAACGCGUAAGUAAUCAACCUGUGACACACGGAUAACUGAUAGAAAUGUCAGCUAAUACGAGAUGAACUGUUUAAAUUGGGAAAUGGAAACAGCAAAGCGAAAGCGGUCACAGACGAGCUUGCGUCUGAUUAGCUAGUUGGUGGGGUAAGAGCCUACCAAGGCGACGAUCAGUAGCCGGCCUGAGAGGGUGAACGGCCACAUUGGAACUGAGACACGGUCCAAACUCCUACGGGAGGCAGCAGUGGGGGAUAUUGCACAAUGGGGGGAACCCUGAUGCAGCAACGCCGCGUGAGUGAAGAAGGCCCUAGGGUCGUAAAGCUCUGUCGUAUGGGAAGAAACAAAUGACU